AACGUAGGAGGCGAGCGUUAUCCGGAUUUACUGGGUGUAAAGCGUGUGCAGGCGGACCAGCAAGUUGGAUGUGAAAGCUCCUGGCUUAACUGGGAGAGGUCGUUCAAAACUGCUGGACUUGAGUAUGGGAGAGGGAGGCGGAAUUCCGGGUGUAGUGGUGAAAUGCGUAGAUAUCCGGAGGAACACCAGUGGCGAAAGCGGCCUCCUGGCCCAAAACUGACGCUCAGACACGAAAGCUAGGGGAG
rnacentral:rRNA from 1 species